GAAAUCUGGCCUUUAUAAAUUUCUUCCCCUGAAAGAAAAACAGAAGUUAAUGCUUGUACUCCUUCUCCGUUUGGUUAACAAGUUUGGCUAUUCUGUGACAAUU